rnacentral:sRNA from 1 species
UCCUGCCAGGCAUAGCCCCGAAAGGUGCUAA